UACGAAGGGGCUAGCGUUGCUCGGAAUCACUGGGCGUAAAGCGCACGUAGGCGGCUUUUAAGUCAGGGGUGAAAUCCUGGAGCUCAACUCCAGAACUGCCUUUGAUACUGAGAAGCUUGAGUCCGGGAGAGGUGAGUGGAACUGCGAGUGUAGAGGUGAAAUUCGUAGAUAUUCGCAAGAACACCAGUGGCGAAGGCGGCUCACCUGGCCCGGUACUGACGCUGAGGUGCGA
rnacentral:rRNA from 1 species